AACAUCUACAAUUUGGUGGUAAAGGGUUUCUGGAACCUACAUCUCCUCUCGGUCUUGCCAAAGGAUCUCACCCAGUGAAUUAUGUUGUUUUCAGGCUGUGGCAGGCAAACACAAAGGAAGAAGCCAAAAGACCAAGGAGGAGUAAGUAGGUUGAAUCUGAGCUGCUGAUGUCUGAAUGAUUUUGUAUUUGAGAACAGAGCAUAUAUUGAGAGCGCUUCCCAGGAUUUACUCAUCUGUAGCUUUGCAAAGACGGAUGCCUCUGACAUUGGUCUCAGGGCCGGGCUGUCCCAAGAAAUGGAGGA